rnacentral:rRNA from 1 species
UAUGCUUGUCUUAAGGAUCAUUCCAGGCAUGUCUCAUUACACCCGAUUUUGUACAGUGAAACUGCAAAUGGCUCAUUACAACAGUUAUAUUUUAUUUGAUCGUGCGGUACUACGUGGAUAACCGUAGGAAAUCUAAAGCUAAUACAUGCCCCAUCGUCUUAUGGGGAUAUUUUCGAAUUGAUUUUUUAAGGCGGGAUUUAUUAAAUCAAAAACCAAUCGCUUUUUUUUUUUUUAAGGCGGGGCGGGGUGAAUCAUAAUAACUUUUCCAAAUCGCAAGGCUGCAAUAAGGCCGGCAAUAAAUCAUUCAAAUUUCUGCCCUAUCAACUUUCAAUGGAAGGGUAGUGGCCUACCAUGGUGUUGACGGGAAACGGAAAAUUAGGGUUCAAUUCCGGAAAGGGACCCUGAAAAAUGGCUACCACAUCCAAGGAAGGCAGCAGGCGCGCAAAUUACCCAUUCCUGAUUCAGGGAGGUAGCGACAAGAAAUAACAAUAAAAGG